rnacentral:rRNA from 1 species
AGUGAACGCUGGCGGUAGGCCUAACACAUGCAAGUCGAACGGCAGCACAGUAAGAGCUUGCUCUUACGGGUGGCGAGUGGCGGACGGGUGAGGAAUACAUCGGAAUCUACUUUUUCGUGGGGGAUAACGUAGGGAAACUUACGCUAAUACCGCAUACGACCUACGGGUGAAAGCAGGGGAUCUUCGGACCUUGCGCGAUUGAAUGAGCCGAUGUCGGAUUAGCUAGUUGGCGGGGUAAAGGCCCACCAAGGCGACGAUCCGUAGCUGGUCUGAGAGGAUGAUCAGCCGCACUGGAACUGAGACACGGUCCAGACUCCUACGGGAGGCAGCAGUGGGGAAUAUUGGACAAUGGGCGCAAGCCUGAUCCAGCCAUACCGCGUGGGUGGAGAAGGCCUUCGGGUUGUAAAGCCCUUUUGUUGGGAAAGAAAAGCAGCAGGUUAAUACCCCGCUGUUCUGACGGUACCCAAAGAAUAAGCACCGGCUAACUUCGUG